rnacentral:misc_RNA from 1 species
AAGUUGUAACAAGGUUUCCGUAGGUGAACCUGCAGAAGGAUCAUUACAAAUCUUUUGUGAGUGUUAUGUGCUUAACUGUACGUAACAUCUCACAACAUUAGCACAAGGUUGCAAGGCCUUGAUGUUUACACUUGUUUUGUUUGACAGAGUUAGUUGAUAAUAAAAAAAGACAACUUUUAACAAUGGAUCUCUUGGCUCUU